AGUGAACGCUGGCGGUAGGCCUAACACAUGCAAGUCGAACGGCAGCACAGUAAGAGCUUGCUCUUACGGGUUGCGAGUGGCGGACGGGUGAGGAAUACAUCGGAAUCUACUUUUUCGUGGGGGAUAACGUAGGGAAACUUACGCUAAUACCGCAUACGACCUACGGGUGAAAGCAGGGGAUCUUCUGACCUUGCGCGAUUGAAUGAGCCGAUGUCGGAUUAGCUGGUGGGCGGGGUAAUUGCCCACCAAGGCGACGAUCCGUAGCUGGUCUGAGAGGAUGGUCAGCCACACUGGAACUGAGACACGGUCCAGACUCCUACGGGAGGCAGCAGUGGGGAAUAUUGGACAAUGGGCGCAAGCCUGAUCCAGCCAUACCGCGUGGGUGAAGAAGGCCUUCGGGUUGUAAAGCCCUUUUGUUGGGAAAGAAAAGCAGCAGGUUAAUACCCCGCUGUUCUGACGGUACCCAAAGAAUAAGCACCGGCUAACUUCGUG
rnacentral:rRNA from 1 species